GGACAAUUUAAGAGAAUCCAGGAGCUUUGACUAACCGGCUACUCAGCCAUGACCCUGCCCUGUUGAAGGAAGUAGAAAGGACGGGAAUUGGUCAGUCAACAGCACUCAGGUGCCAAGUCGUGAACACACUGUGGGGAGGAGACCGGCAACAGAAAAUGACUGGAAGACACAAGGAAUCCCUAAAAGAUCGAAAAAAUGUUCUCCGCAAUCUAAACAAAGUUAGAUUGGGAAAUGCAGCAUGGUACCAUGGGGGCCUGGUUCGGCCAUGACCCGCCUGCCCGCAGGCGCCGGCCUCAGAUGCUCAGAGCGGCCUGGGGAGAGAGGGGAUGCUUUGACUUUUCAAGAUCUAAGAGUUAUGGUUCCCUUUUGGCGAAAUGCUUUUUGUCCUGUCAUAACUUGAGUCCUUUGUGGUAGCACCGAUUGUGGCCUCGGAAGCCCAGGUAGGAGUCAUUCAACCUUUUUCAGCAGAUUGAAGUGAUUUUUAAGUGAAUACAGAAAGCAGCCCUACCCACACCAUCCUCUGUCAGGAAUGAAGCAUCUGUGAUGGAAAAUACCUGCAGCCUGGGGAAAAAAUUUACUGCAACAGCUCCAUUUCAUGUUGUGGGGUCAUAUUUUUAUUGAUGUGAAAUUCUUGCUCUCUACUGUCCGAUUUUUGUUAACUACUGAAUCUAAAUCUUGUUGGGUCUUGUGCUUGCAAACCCCUGUAAUUAGCAUGAUAUCCUAGAUUGUUUUUAAAUUGAAGUGGCCUGGUUUCUGUGUCUAACCUGUGCAGUUAGAGGCCCCGGGGCUGAGAUUGUAUCUGGGGCUCUCCCUGGACCCCUCUCUUCCACGCCCUGGCUGGAGACUGAGCAUCAAAAUCUCCCAUGGAAACCUGGAUCCAGAGUUCAGGAACCGGGAGGCUGGCACAGGCGAGGGGGUGCGGGUGAUGUCAAGCACCCUUCUCUGGGACUUGCAAGUUGCCACAGGGCUUGAACACUUCAAGUGUGGGGAGGAGAUGCCCAGAUUUGGAUCCUGGCUUGACCAGUCCUGGCGCGGAUGUCCAGCCUCUCUGCUGGGUGAAGUCUGAAUCCCGGCACCCGUCACCGCAGCUUUUUCCUCGCAGCCUAGAUGAGACAAUUAGGAAAACCAGAGCCUGGAGAAUUCCAGGGACGGGAAGCCUGGUGGGCUGCCGUCUCUGGGUCGCACAGAGUCGGACACAACUGAAGCGACUUAGCAGCAGCAGCAGCAGCAGAGAGAUAAAGAGAACUUCCGCUGAAUCCUAGCUUCUGUCUUCUCAAUAGAGGAGAGCGUGGCAACCCACUCCAAUAUUCUUGCCUGGAGAAUCCUAUAGACAGAGGAGCCCUACAGUUCACGGGGUCAAAGAGUCAGAGGUGACUAAAGUGUGACCAUCUCACCAGAGGAUCCCUCCCACCUACCCUACACCACGAAGCCAAAUGGACCAAUGACAUGGGGCAGCUUCUUUUAAAUCUCACCCCCAGGGCCUCUGACUGCACAGGUAAGACACAGAAACCAGGCCACUCCAAUUUAAACAAGCCUUGCAGCUUCUUAAAGACCAGGGUCAAGUCCAUAUGAAGUCCUUCCGUUACUUACCUUCACAUUGGUCUCAGUGGUUUAUUUCAAAUUCUAGCCUAUUCAUUGAUAGCUUUUCCUGAAUGGUCUCCAAAAGCUCUCUGCAAAAGCGAUUUACAGAGUGGCUGGCCAGUGUGCUGAUCUGCACACUGAAGGAAGGAUCAUGUAGCUAAGGACUGCCAAACAGACAGAAGAGACAUGUUAUCACCGAGGCAAGAAGUGCGCAGUUAGCAGGGUUAAGGACCAGGAUUUGGGGGCCACAUAGCUGCUUGUAGCGAGAAGGUUCUUGCAUGAAGAAUCUUCUCAACUAUCUUUCCUUGCCCACAGCUAAAUAGUAGCUUCUACUUUAAAUCCAGGUCACAGUCAUUAGCUACCAGCAUGGUCGGCACUAGAUACUCAACGAGUAUGGAUCAGUUUAAGAUUUGCUUGAAGGUGAAAAGAGGAAUUAUUCAACAAAUGGUGUUGGAACCACUGGCUAGCCAUUUGGGAAAAAAAGUUUAGAACUUCCCUGGUGGUCCAGUGGUUAAGAGUCUGACCUCCCAAUGCAGGGAGUACAGGUUUGACCCCUGGUCGAGGAACUAAGAUCCUACAUGCCACUCAUGUUGCCGAGAAAUAAAGUAAAUAAAUAAAUAUAAACUUAAACUGAUUCUUACCUUACUUGUCACUCCCAGUAAAGCAUAUGUGGAUAAAAACUUCAAAGAUAAAAUUUGAAACCACAAUUUAAAAACUGUGGGUGCAUUUAUUGCUCAUCCCUGUUUGGAGAAGUCCUUUUUAGCAAGGAAGCCAUAGAUUAAAAAAUCAUAAAUUUCAUACCAUAAAAGAAAACAUAAUUUUGUGUGACAAAAAGUACCUUAAAAAUGACAAAACAGAAAAUAUUUGCAACAUUUGUAUAUGAGAAACAUAAUUUAAUUUAUUUAAAUUACAAAGAGCUCACACAAAUCAAUAAAGAAAAAGCAGAAUAACACAAUAGAAAAUAAGGCAAAGGAUAUGAAUGGACAGUUAAAAAGUGAUGCAAAUGUCUGAUAAAAAAUUUCACUGGAAACUAUAAGAUACCAUCUUUCAUCUAAAUGUCAGAAAUUGUAAAGUUUUAUUAUAAUUAGUGCCUGGGAAGAAGAUAUGUGGACAAGUAGGCAUUUGCAAAUAUAAAUUUAAGAACUGUCAACUGGUGUUCAUUUGCCCAAUAUUAAGAUCCUUCUAAGAGCAAUUGAGUAAUAUCAAUCAUGAUUUUAAUGUCUAUAACCUUUGAUCCAAGAACUUCACUGCCUGAAUUUAGCCUACAGUUACAUUGGCAAAAUUAUGCCAUGGGGAAACUGUAGAAACAGUGUCAGAUUUUAUUUUGGGGGGCUCCAAAAUCACUGCAUAUGGUGACUGCCCCAUGAAAUUAAAAGAUGCUUACUCCUUGGAAGAAAAGUUAUGACCAACCUAGAUAGCAUAUUGAAAAGCAGAAACAUUACUUUGCCAACAAAGGUUCGUCUAAUCAAGGCUAUGGUUUUUCCAGUGGUCAUGUAUGGAUGUGAGAGUUGCACUGUGAAGAAGGCUGAGCACCGAAGAAUUGAUGCUUUUGAACUAUGGUGUCGGAGAAGACUCUUGAGAGUCCCUUGGACUGCAAGGAGAUCCAACCAGUCCAUUCUGAAGGAGAUCAGCCCUGGGAUUUCUUUGGAAGGAAUGAUGCUAAAGCUGAAACUCCAGUACUUUGGCCACCUCAUGCGAAGAGUUGACUCAUUGGAAAAGACUCUGAUGCUGGGAGGGAUUGGGGGCAGGAGGAGAAGGGGACGACAGAGGAUGAGAUGGCUGGAUGGCAUCACUGACUCGAUGGACGUGAGUCUGAGUGAACUCCGGGAGUUGGUGAUGGACAAGGAGGCCUAGCGUGCUGCAAUUCAUGGGGUCGCAAAGAGUCGGACAUGACUGAGAGACGGAACUGAAUUGAAAUGAAUUGAUACAGGACAAGGAUGCCCAUGACAGCGUUGUUUGGAACAGCAGAAAGCUGGAAUCCAUUUAAGGGUCUAUCAAUGAGACCGGCUAGAAAAUGGAACUCUAAGAAACAGUUUUUGUGUCUUAAAAAAAAAAAUAUUAACAGGGUCUUCAGGUCAUGAGACCAAGGAUAUGUGAGUUUAUUUUUUAUUUUUGUCUGCACAGCAUGUGGGAUCUUAGUUCCCCAACCAAGGAUCAAACCCAUGCCCCCCGAAUUAGUAGUGCAGAGUCUGAACUACUAGACCACCAGAGAAGUCCAAGAAGCAGUUUUUAAAAAGGUUGAAAGGCGAUUGGUAGAGCUAGAUAUAGAGGACCUUUGAUUUUUUAAUAAGUAGGAAGGGAAAGCAAGGCUCUGGGCAAGGUAUUUAGGAAUAUCUGUUUUCAAAUUGUGUACCUUACUAGCCAAACCUUUUGAACGCAUUCACUAACGUAUUUGUUGAUUGAUUUAUACAUAUGUGAACCGAUCCAAAAAUAGCAUAAAAAAGUGAAUUGAAGCAAAGCAUAAGAUCUAAAAUUUUUUCGGCUACGCUGAAUUGUUUUAAGGACCUUUCCACCUUACAUGUAUGCACUUAUGCCACGUGAGUGACGUCAGUUCGUCACCUGUCAAUUUUAAAAUAUAUCUGCAAAUUCUUUGACACACCUUCCAUUGGUUUGCGUGAUCUAUGCCCUGUUCCCUUCAAAUGGGGCAGACCUUUGCCCUUGUUUUGGCCACCAGGGUAUGGCAGAAAUGACAAUAUUGGAUUCUGAGUCUAGAUGAGAAAACACUGGUGCCUGGUUUGUUUUUAGUUUUCUGGGAUGCAAAACCAAGCCAACACUGAUGUUGAUACUUGUGCGGAGGUUUAGACUUUGUUUAGACAGCACUUCCGUGCUAUGAAUAGUAGCUGCAGAAGUGAUGAACACA
ensembl:lncRNA